rnacentral:rRNA from 1 species
GACGAACGCUGGCGGCGUGCUUAACACAUGCAAGUCGAACGGAAAGGCCCUGCUUUGGUGGGGUGCUCUGGUUGCGAACGGGUGAGUAACACGUAAGUAACCUGCCCUUGACUGUGGGAUAACUUCAGGAAACUGGGGCUAAUACCGGAUAGGAUCUCCUGCUGCAUGGUGGGGGUUGGAAAGUUUCGGCAGUUGGGGAUGGACUGGCGGCUUAACAGCUUGUUGGUGGGGUAGUGGCUUACCAAGGCUUUGCCGGGUAGCCGGCCUGAGAGGGUGACCGGACACAUUGGGACGGAGCUACGGCCCAGCCCACUCUGGGAGGCAGGAGUGGGGUAUAUUGUACUAUGGGCGGAAGCCUGACCUAGUCAAGCAGCGUGGGGGAUGACGGCAUUCGGUUUGUAAACCGCUUCCGCCUGUGCCGAAGCGUGAGUGACGGUACUGGGUAAAGAAGCACCGGCUAACUACGUG